rnacentral:lncRNA from 1 species
GCUAGGGGAAGGAGGGAAGCAGGCAGGAGGGAGAGCGGGAGACUUCCGGAAAUCCCUUUCCUCCCUUCCCUUCACAGGUUGCCCCAUAGUGACCCUGGAGACUCCCGCCUGCCCCCAGUGAAGGAAUUGGUUACUCUCCCAGAGCCCUCCCGGGCAUCGCCCCCUUCCUCACUUCCUCCUCUUCCUGCCCCCAGCCUCUACCCCUCCAGCCUCCUGUGGCUUCACAGGCAAGUGCCGCAUCCCAGGAAGAAGGAGUUGGAGCUCCGUGAUGCCAUUCAAAAACAGAUGAGAUGGGGACAGAUUUAACCCAAAGGACAUAGUUCAACUCCUGGUCUUGACAGAGGAGAAGCCCUCAAAGCCUCUCUCAAUUGCCUUCUCAGCUUGUAUGCUUUGAAGAAGCAAGCUGCAGUGUUGGAGAGGCCCAUGUGGCAAGGAAAUGAGGGUGGCCUCCAGUCAAUGGCUGGUGAGAAACUGAGACCUUCCUUCCAACAAUUGUCAAGUAACUGAAUACUCCCAACAAUCAUAUGGGUUAGGUUAGAAGUGAACCUUUCUCUAGUUGAGGUUUCAGAUAAGACCACAGAUAUUAUACUAACACCUUGAUUGCAGGCUUAUGAGAAACCUUGAAAUGAGAAGACUAAGUAAAACCAUAUCUGGAUUCCUGACUUGCAGAAACUGUGUGAUGAUAAAUGUGUGUUAUCUUAAGCCACAAAGUUUUUGGGGUGAUUUGUUCUACAGCAAUUGAUAAUGAAUACUUCAACCUAUAGUGACAACUGGAUGUCUAUUUACUCAUUUUCCCCACCAAAGUGUAAAGUUCCUACAAGGCAGAGGUUACAACAUAUUCAUCCUGCUACCUCUCACAGCCCAUAAUAUACAACCUGACCCAUAAAACAUGAUUAAUCAAUGUUUGUUAAAUUAACAUGUAUUUUGAGUUUCAUUGAAAUCAGUUAGUUGAAGUGAUAAUAACAUUUAAAUGUGCAUGAGCAGUAGGACAAGGCAGAUAGCUGGUUAGGAUAGAAAGUUUUUGAAAAUUGUGAGGGGAAAAAUUAUUUCUAUUUGUACCCUGUUGUACCCAGCUUAGGUUUCAAAAACUUUCAGGGGGUUUUUAUUCAUUUACCAAAGACUUCAAAGUUGGUGCCUCCCCACCACUCUAAAGAGGUCUUUGCCCUUAUUGACCCAACCAUACUGAUUUGCCUGGUGCACAGUGGGAGCUAUUAUAAGGAGAGGGGAGAAGAAGGAAAUAGAAACAACUGUGAAAAAGGUUGAAAAAAAUAGCGAAAAGGAUAGAAAAAGAGCAGAGGAAAGAGAAGAAGUAGUCAACAUCCAACCCAGAUGCAGAGAAAUGAUUCAAAAGAAAAAGUCUGAUUUUCCUGUCGGAAAUAUUUUUAAAAGGAGGUAGGCAUUUAUCAAAAAGGAAAAAAAAAAAAAAAGAAUAACAGAGU